CCGGGCCUGGGAUCCUCUAUGC
rnacentral:miRNA from 1 species